AAUGGAGCACUCCUUAGGGAUUUUUUUAAGGUAUAUUGAAAUAAACAAUCAACGUUUCGACCCUUAAAAAAAUACACCUUAAAAAAAUCCCUGAGGAGUGCUCCAU